rnacentral:tRNA from 1 species
UGCUAACAUAGUUUAUAUAAAACAUAAUCCUGAAGAUAUUAAGAAGACGCCCUCUAUUAGCA